AGGCUGUACAGAUAUAAUAUAACAUAUAUAAUCACACCUGUUUUGCAUGAGAAAAAUGCAGGAACAAACAGCCCUGUCAAUCACACUGUUCACUCACAAAGUACUUAAGCAUCAAAUCGAAGUGCAUUUGUGUGUUACUCUGACCCAUGUGUUCUUACAUCAACAUGUAAUUCUGGUUUUGUCAGUAUGUGCAUGGUCAGUUGCAGACUAUAACACUAUAUUUGACCUUUAAAUGGGCGUUCAGCAUACUUCAGGUUGAGGUGUGGCUUUACAUAUAAAAAGUGGCAGGUGACAGGUGAGUCAGUGGAUCAAGUUACCAGCACACAGUUUUGGUGAACUCACUCUGAUCUGAACUUACAGGGUGUGAGGUUUGAAAUUUGGAGAUGUCUGGAAAGGGAAGAGGCGGGCAUUGUCAUGAAGGAGGGCAUGGACAUGGCCAUGGUGGUGGACAUGGCCAUGGUGGUGGACACGGACAUGGUCAUGGUGGUGGACACGGACAUGGCCCUCAUGCUCAUGGAUGUGAGAAGAAGCACAGGCGCCGGCACAAGCAAGGACACAGGCACCUCAAAUGCCACAAGAAGGGGAGGGAUUGUCACGGGGACUCCAGCAGCUCCUGCAGCAGUGACUCUGACUAGAUGAAGAUUUCUGGGGGGACCUGCAUGGAAACAUUGCUAUUUUAUACUUUCUGCUUUUAAUAUUACAUUUUUUUAACACAUGUAAAGAACAAAAAUAAACAUAAAGAAUAUGUAAAACAGAAGGUUGCUUCCCACAUCUAUAAAAACUGGAUGGUUUGUGGAGUAUCAUUUUAAGCCUUGAGCUUUGCCAUGCUUGCCUUGUUUUUUGAAUUAGAACAUGACAAGGGUGGCUCAACCCUACCUGAGAAACUGAGGAAACUGCAUUCUCACUGGGUAGCAACCUGCCAAUCACAAGGCAGCUCCGCCUUAAAGCAAAGCCUUCAUCAAUCUCUCUUUUAAUUGGAACAUGACUUUCAAAAAAAUAUUAUGUUGUAGAGCUAACCAUAAAGUCAUGUGUAAAGUGUUUACUGAGGUCAUAAAUCAGGCUAAGGCUACGUCCACACGUACACGGGUAUUUUUGAAAAUGCAGAUUUUUCUAUGCGUUUGCACCUUUCUUCCACACGUAAACGGCGUUUUCGGUCACUGAAAACUGAGAUUUUUAAAAACUCCUGCCAGGGUGGAGAUUUUCGAAAACUCCAUUUUUGCAUUUAUGUGUGGACGAAAACGGAGAAAACAGUCAAAGGUGUGCGCCUUUUUUGACGUCAGGUUUCGGUUCUACAAUGGCGGACUUAGAGAAAAUAAAUUUACUGUUCUCUGCAGUGUUUAAAUGCUUGCAUAUACACACACAGUCCCAGACUACCUCUGGUCAGUCAGCCGAUCUUGAACAAUUCAGUAAUAAAACAAACCAAACUCCAGCUUCAAGAACAACUUCAACCAUGCAACAUACAGAUGGAAAAAAAUCAUUUACAAAAGGUGAAAAACUGAUAAACUUAAGUUCUCUGUGUACCAGGUUGGGACUGGAUGGGAUGAAAAUGGUGUGAAUUUGUUCUGUUUUUGUUUUACCAGUUUGAAGGUGUUUUUGUGAGGAUCUUUGCACUUGCAGCUUGCAAAAGAAGAGCCAUAAAACUCUUUAUUGAGCCUUUAUUAAACCCAUAAUAUUCUCUUGGCAGAAAGAUGUCAAGUGUGAGACAUAGAGGAGGAUGGUGCAUCAUCGGUGUAGAAAGAAGAAUCCAUAGAAUCAGUUUAGGUGACCGCUGAAGUUCAGGAAUAGCCCAAAAUCUACUUGAAUACAUAAACUUAUUGCCUUCUAAACACAUUGUUUUAGUUUAGUUUCAUGCUUUGGGUUUAAUUCCAUCUCUUCUCUGACACAGGGGAUGAAUGGAUCUUAGCUCUGGGACACCUGCUUCGCUGUGCAGGCUUACCUCGAGGUAACAUAUAGAUGACCUCUAAUUCUUACAAUAGUUUCAGCCGAAGUACAUUUAGGCUCAUGUGUAACAGCUCUUCUACUGUAUUUGACUCACCACCUGGGGACAGGGGAGGGUCCUCAGCUAAAGGAGCUCAUUUGCAUUAGUAUUCAGUAUCCACCCAAUGCUUUUAAUUCCUUAAUUAAACACUUUAAACAAUCAAGUGCUACAUGUUGUUUUUGUAGUAUUUAUUUUGCUUCCAGAUCCUGAGAUGACAUCAGAGAGAAAGUCAAAGAAUCCUGAAUUAUAAUCUGUGGGUGAAUUCCCUGGCAGCAAUGGUAAUAGAAGUACACCCAAAUGAGAAACAUUUGCAGAUAUUUAAGUGAAUUUAAUCCAAUUUGACUGGUGAUUUAAACAUGCAGCUUCUGUGUCCUGGUGACCAUUGAAAUGUCAUUUUAUGUAGAUAAGGUUUUAAGAUAAUGGGCCAAAUACACGCUGGAUGAGCUUUUAAGAUUGUUAUCAAGUUGCAAGACUUGAUUAAAUUCAAUUCAACUGAAGGUGCUUUAUAUUGUAAGGUAGACCCUACAAUAAUACAUAUACGAAAAACCCAACAAUCAUAUGAUCCUCUAUGAGCAAGCACUUUUUUGACAGUGGGAAGGACAGGCUCAGGGAGGGGCGGCCAUCCACCGUGACUGGUUGGGCUGAGAGUUGACCACAACAGUUUUUAUACUGACACUUUCAAAAACCUUUUUUUUCAAAGUGGUUGAAUUGUGGCCAACUGCACAGCAGAAGGCCUGAAGUCACUGAUGCUGCUGCAGGUGCUCUGCCCCUCCGUCAUGCACCCCAUUACCUCCAAGCAUCUGUGUGACGCCGUCAACGUAGUGAGUCUGCAGAAAGAUAUAAAAGGAGGACUUAUUCAGUAAACUUUUUUUUUUUACAGCUCAUAAUGUCAACAUCCUGUUUGUUUUUAUGCCCCACACAUCUGCAUCAAACUCUCAGAGAGCUCCAGGUCUGCUGCAGCAAGCUUCUGCUUGCCUUUUAAAAACAUUCAAAUAAACUUUUUGUCUUAUUCACAGUGAAUCUUUCCUUUUAGUUAAACUAUUUCAUCAUAUUAACAGGUAACGGGUGAGCAGAGCCAUCAUUGAUGGUGAUACAGAAGCCUGUAGCAGGAGUACUGACGGGGCUCCUGAAUACUCAGUACCCAUCUUAUCUUAAAAACCUCAUAGUACUGUAUCAUUCCAUUAGAGCACUUCACCC
ensembl:lncRNA